UUCCAAGCAUGCCUUGGCAACCACGUUUAUUUAGGCAACCGCUGAAAAUGUUGUUAGUUAUCCGCUUUAUUACGGUUACUAGCUGAAGCUAAGUCCGCUCGCCAGUGAUUAUUUCCUCGGCUCGAUUUCGUGCAAAGUGGUUCAAGCGUAUUUCUGUGAAAUGCCAUCGGAAGAGUGUAACGACGCGUGGCUGGAAACGUUCCGUGCUGCUGUACAGCAUACGGAACGAACGGAACGGCAGCGAGCAUUGAAGAGCUUCGGGCAAGACUUUACCCGCGACGCCAUCAUCGCCGAAGAAUGUCCCAGAAUAUUCGACGAUACGUACCUGUACAUUCUCCGCUGCUAUGGCGAUCGGUUCGAGUCGGUGCGGACGCUUGCUGUGGCGGCAAUGGACGCUCUGCUGGGUAAGCUUCCCCCGAACGAUUACUAUCUCGGCUGCAUCGUGCCGGUGCUGGCAAAACGCAUCGGCCAGGCCGAAACGAUCGAAGACAGUGAGGAAGUGCGGUUGCAGCUGCUGGAGCAGCUGGAAACGCUGGUGGCAAAGUAUAGCGAUCCGGACGGAAGCCGCGGUGGUGAUCCGCUGCUGAAAGUGUUGGACAGUGUGAUUGACACACUGAUCAAAAGCUUGCGCGAUCCGUUUCCGGCAGCACAGAAAAAAAGCUGCGAAAUCGUGAUCGCCCUGGCGGAGGCCACGCCGAGUCUGCACUACCGUGCCGAAGCGCUGGUGGCGCCGACCAAAUCGAUUCUCACCCACCGACACUCGGCGAAUCGUAUUGCCGCGGUGGAAGCGCUGGGUGUCCUGUCGCUGCACAUUCUCUCCAAUGGUGACUGCGUGUCGGAAAUCAUUAUGGCCGUGUCGCCGUUGCUUAUGGACGAUGUGCCCUUCGUAAGGCGUGCGUGCGGUCGGGUCGGGUGCCUGAUGCUGCAGAAGCUGCGCGAUCGGUACUCGUUCUUUCAUCGCAUCCUUCCGCUGGUGUUGAAUUGCUUGUGCGAUGAAACGGUCGAGGUGCGUGAAGACAUAGAAGCUGGUUGGAAGCAAGCAGGGGAGCUGUACUAUCGUGAAAAUGAGACUGAACUUUCCAAGGCUGCCUUGAUCGAAACCGUCCCGAAAGGGUAUCCCGUCGAACGGUACCGGCGACCUACGCUGGCCUGUCGGGCCAUUGUGCAGCGUAGUCUGCGAGUGGUCAAUUUGGUACUGCACGAAAUGGAAGAGUGGAAGGAAAACAUUCGUCUUCACGCUACGAAGCUGUUGAAGCAGAUAGUGCUCCAUGCCGAGCGGUCGUUUUCUACGCUUUUUCUCGAGGUGAACCCGGUGCUAGCGAAGGCGUGCAUGGACGCUGAAAAAAGUAUCGUCUCGGAGGCUCUCAGUGUGUGUGAGUUGAUGGGCAUUUUGCUUGACUACGAUACCUGGAGUCAGCAUAUGUUGACCACGUUUCAAAAUUACCCAACAAUCGGACAGCUGCGCUGUAUGCGUACACUGUUUGCUAGCUGCGUACAGGACGAGGCCAAAUGCAAAGACGUACGAAAGUUUGCCACCCUGCUACUCGAUCCGGACGUUUGUCAUAACCACCGGGAUGCCGUCUAUCAGCGUGAGUUGCUGGAAUUUUGCAGCAUCCUUGCAUCGAGCGGACAAAAGCAAGAGUCACUGACUGCAAGGCUGGAAGAAAUAACGAUCAGUGAAUCGAACGACAGUACCGCUGGGGAGCAACAGACCCUUGAGCGCACCUUGUAUACUGUCGCUUUAAAGGUGGUGGCCUUCUGCUAUGGCUUAGAAGAUCGAGCAUCUGUUCGAGAUUUGGGCAUGACGGUGUUGGGACUGCUGGACAGUAACGUAGAUCGCUUGCAUCAGCACCAUUUGGCAAGCGUAUUGUGUAAAAUUGAACACCUCGAGAGCGAAAAUUCUGACGCAAGUACAAGCAUUCUCCUUCUGUGCGGCAUCGUUGCCGUUUGCGGAUUUCAGGAUUCCUAUUUCACCAUCCUGAACGAAACUCUACAGAAAGCUGUUGCACAUGCGGCACCUGAGGGGAAGGUAAAACUUUUCAGUGCUAUUUCCGUGGCAAUGCUUUCUUGGAAUGUUCAUAACGCGCAACCAAAGGAAGAUCAAAUCGCUAUGUUGAGAGCAUUAACGGAUGCCGUAAUCGCACCUCAUCUGGUAUGGUCGGCGGGAAGAAGUGCUGAGUCUGUGCGAGCAAUGGCAACAGCUUGCUUUGCUUCCAUGGCACAAGGGGUCGAUACGAAUGUGUAUAUGUCACUCCUGCCAACCUAUCUGAACGUACUCUCUGGUCUAAUUGAUGAUAAUUGUAUCGCUACACGUGCCUAUAGUUUAAAAGCACUCGUGCGGCUUCAAGCUUUAAGUUUUGAAUCGCUAAAGCUUAUAGCGUUUCCGAUCAUGUCGCGAUUAGAUGACCCAAGCGGGGAGGUUCGUGAGUUGGCAGCGGUGUGCCUCGGACGGCUUCAAUUAGAUGUGGCUUUGUCGGAGGAUGGGCAGCAAAACACUAUCGAGCGUUGGCAGGACAUUUUGCGACAAAUUCUGUCAGUCAUGUUUCUUCACUUGGAGCAUCCUGAAACCAAGCUGCGCUGUGCCAUUUUCGAUUCUUUGAAACGGUUGCAUACUGACAAUCGAGAAUUGAUCGAGCGUUUGGCUAGCGAUGUGCCUUCUGGAUGUUCAUACAAAAAGGAUCUCGAAACCAUCACGUCCAGGACAAAAAGUACAUGAAAACCACAACUUUGCCAGUCGUUCCGAAGUGCAAUCACCUAUAAGAAGAGCUUCAGGCCGUUUCAGGCCGGCGCAUCAGCACAAUGAUUCUAAUUUUGCUGUAGGCUUAUUACCAUGUUGGGUUACUACUGGUAUCUGGAGUUUGGGGCAACUGUCAGUGUUCCGUGAAAGUCCCUACGUUGUGAUAUUUUAACUGUUUUUACACGAAAUAAUCAAUCGUUUGUUCUCUGUUGGAAAGUAAAGUUCACUUCUUUAUUCACACCAUUUAUGCGUGCUUCGCUUUGCUUCGGCUCGUGACAAGUGCCUCAAAAGGGCGGUCCCCCUUUCACAGAUAUCGAUCGUGUACGUACUUUGGUACUACUUCGGUAUCAUUACUACCGUACUUUACCACGAAUUUACUUCAACUAACGGGCCUUAAGACAGUGCGUAUCCUAUUUGAGUAAUUUUAGUAUCUGUGUGCGGUUUUUAAUUACUCCUAAUCGAUUAACUUAUCUAAUACAAAUCAUGUAAAUAUAUUUGUUACGCGCACUCCGCUUAACGGUAGUGGCUAACACAAAAAAAUGUCUAAGGACAGAUGUGUGCAUUGUCCUCCCGCCCGGGCCAAAGUGACAGGUGAAACUUAUUUUAAGGGAGCAUCGUACCGCUUUCCGACGAAGUACGCUUUGGCAAUUAAUUUUAGUUAUUUAUGUAAGAUAGUGACGACGAAGACGGGAGCGGUAUGGAAGGAAGGCGACCAAUACUCGAACACUAGAGAACAAUGCUCGACACAACCGUAUCACGACGACCGAAAACCGACCGAGGGGUGGAGGAGGUGGACCGAAUGAGGGAGACCGUUGACACAGACUUCUAUCUUUUCUGACGGUGUUGCUUUAUUGAGUUCUGAUCAACGACUGACUGCUCAGCCCAAGUUCUCUUCUUUAUAACAUUAUUCCGAUUCGCAUCAGGCAAUACCAUUUUGCAACUAUUCUUACAUUUAUAUGUAUCUAUAUAUUUUUAUUUUUUAUAUUGCUCUGGCGGCGACACUUUGUGUUACGCGUUUUGUACACUGAAUGGUACACGAUUAUUCGCGAGCGCACACACACUCACUGUGUGUCGCUUGUGAAGCGCUACGUAACGCGAAUGAGUUUGAGAAAAACGCGCACAGAACACACACUUUGUGUUACGCGUUUUGUACACUGAGUGGUACACGAUUAUUCGCGAGCACACACACACACACACUGUGUGUCGCUUGUACCUUAAUGGGCGGCUAGGAGGCCCUGAGUGGGCUUGAUGGGCGGAUAGGAAGAUAGUGGUGGUGGAGGCACCAUUUUCCUUCCGUGUGGUGAUGUUUUAGGACGACGUUGCGUCGCCUGUUGCUGAAUCGUACGAAAACGCGCCCUUUGAGGACACUCCGGAUCGUUUGCUUUGUGAUUUCCAUCACAAUUCGCACAUUUCGGUACUGUUGGGUGGACCACAGUGCAAUCCGCGACGUUGUGGUUUUGAGCGCAGUUUAAGCAUCGUUGACGCAUGCCGCAGUGCCGCGAGCCGUGGGCAAAGCCCAUGCACCGUAAACAUUGGGUCACACCUCGUCGUCCACCUCGGAAUGCCUCCCAAUGAACACGGAUAGAUAGGCGGGCACGAAUUUCUUUUAGGGCAGCCUGCGUUGUGGUACCCUUCUUGAGAUGAACGAGGUAUAGACAGCUUCCACUAUCUCCGUUUCCCUUGUGACGUCGUUUGAUGCGGUAGACUGCAUCUACUUGGAGUUUUUCGGCUUCUAGGGCAUCUCGAAUGUCCUUCUCGUCGGAUAGGGGUAGCCCUCGCACUACCACUUUGAACGGACGAUCUCGGGGCAGAUCAUGAGUAUAAAGCUCACAAUCGGCAGUUUGCAGGAACGUGAGAAUGGCCUUGUAGUCUUCUUCAUUUCGCGUCCAACCUUUUGUGCCUACACCAACUAUUUAAUACUCAACCUUUGCGAUGUGGGUAAGCAUUUUUUGCAACUCUUGGAAGUUCUUAUUACGAUGGGUGGUAGCUGGUGGGAAGACAGUCCGUCGCUUUCUAGGUUCCACACAGAUGAAACCAUCAUUAUCUUCCAUUUCAUUCUCUGCAUCGGUGUUUUCACCAUCAAUUUUGGCGCGUUUGUCCGGCGCGUGUUUCGCCGAAUUAACGCCUUCAUCGGAGAUGGUUGGGCUGGUAGCUUCUCUCUUCUUCUUCGUCAUAGCACGCUUUUCGUUUGCUUUUCACUUGAUCGCACGAUACACAGAACACGUAUGUGAAGUUAGCUGUGAUAUGGGAAGUGAAUAAGGACACCGGAAAAUAGAAUUCUACACGAUUUAUUUGCACUCGUUUUGUAGUUCACAUUUAACCGCUCCCGUAUCGUUCCCCAAACUAACUCCUCGUCCCUAAAGCGCGCACCGCUUUUAUAGCUUCUGCCCAUCUUCCCUCUCGCUCCGCAUUACCCGCCGUAACCGCGUUAUCCUUCCUAGUUCAUUCUCGCACGCUCUCUUUAUUCUUCCGUCGCUCGCGCACAUUGCGUCGCUCGCGCACAUUGCGUCGCUCGCGCACGCUUCUUUACUCUUCCCCAUUUCACACGUAUGUACGCGACGAUGGUCAUAAGCGAACUCGAAUGAACUUUUUGUUGCGCACAAACUGGGGCACAACGUUACACUUGGAACACACGGUGGCCACAGAAUGCACACCAUUUUUUAAGAUAUUUAGGGGGUCGAUUUAGUUCGGAUUAAUCUUGUCCCUAAUUUUAUGUCGCGAACGCGUUGGGUUUCGUGAGUAGGUAAUAAUGAAUUUUAUUUUACACUAUCUUAGGAACGGUUGCGCACGUUCGUUCGAGAGGGGUUCGCGUUGAGGAAUUUUACGAUCGCGGAGCGAAGGAAGAGGUCUGUUCGCUUUCGAGGUUGGGUUGCAAGAGAGAGAAUGUGCUCGCUGACAGCAGGAAGUGUAGCGCUGGACACGCGGCGCACGUCACUUUGACACAUUCGUGUGUCUGGUGAGUGCGCUCCACGGAGAUCCGUGUCUUUGUCCCUGGGUGUCACGAUCGCUCACGAUUCUAACGCCAGAUGGCGGUCUGGUCGCUACAGAUACUUUAAUCCUGGUUGUCGGCACCAAAAUGUUUGGUACGGAACCCUACGUUGUGAUUGUUUUUUUAGAUGUUCUUAAGAACUAUAGCGGCGGCGCUGGCACCGUAGCGGUGGCAGCGCGGCGCAUCUCCGCUAACAGCUGCGACGGUUUUCGGUCCCCGAGGUUCAUUUCGGCGAGCAGGCGGUGCAAGCGGCUUCGUUGCGACUAUUCAAAAUGUUCAAUUAUUGCACGUUUCGCUACCUCGUAACGUUCCGUCGAAGCGUACUGUCGAAUGUUCUCUAACAGGUGACGAAGCUCCGGAAGAACACGAAGCGGUAUGCGCGUUUUCAAGAUGUUGAAACGGCGAAUGUGUUGGUUCACGGUAAUAUUCCACGCGUCGAACCAAUUUUCCAAGGCGAAGAAAAAGGUGUGAAUGUCGGUGGUGUACAUCUCCGGUGGUUUCAACUGCAUGGCAUUCAACGUGUCGAUCUGUGAUUCGAACUGUACGGUUGUAGCCUCGCACGCGGACGGCCUUCGUAUGCUCGGGGUAUUCGGGACGGGCGGUGUUGGCGCGUGAGUCGACUUGGAUUCACUCGCGGCUGGAUCGGCUCUCAGGGUCACGCCAUCGGGAGUCGAUACGUCGCGGACUGGUGGAAUGUGCAACAUCCUUACGACUAAGGUUAGUUUAAAAGGGUGGAUUUUACCUUAAUGGGGGUGGGAGCAACCAAGUCCAGCUGAGGUUGGCUAGGUCGGUCCUUCGGCGAAGAAAAAUUCGCACACGCGGUCGAAUGUGUUGGGACUAGUCGGUCGUUGGCUGCAUUCGAGAGGAAACUUUUCCGCUGGGACCGGUCGCUCCGUCGGGGAAAAAGUGUUCCUGUACGGUGUUCCUCACUGGCUGGCACCUUCGGUGUCGAUUGGAACUCACGUUCGAUCUGUAUGCGCGGAGGGGUUUUUUUCUGCUGGCCAAUCGUGGUGCCUCUUUCGUGGUCGGCAGCUCCUCGAUGACGGGGGGAACGGUCCGGCCGUGGCACAAGGAAACACGUUUUUCCUGGAUGGACACGGUGUUCGUCGGGGUCACCAGUUUUAGUGGUUAACUUCGUAAACGUCAAUUGGAGUCGACAUAGGCCCAUGCAGCAGACAGCGCUAAAGGGCCAUUACACGUUUGUAAUACCUAUGCAGCGAUGAUCUCGUUCUACUGUAAUCCGCGUAGGCUUUUUAUUUUAUUUUUUUCAACCGUCUUAAAGAUGCAUUAGACCAAUCGGGGCCAGACUUUCGUUGAGCAACAGGAACGCAGGAAUUAAUCGCUGAGCGCAUAAAAAACGCUAAAGAAAUCGGUGGCUUCGUCGAUAGUGGAAAAGCUGGAGCAGUCAAAAUUGCGGUCAAACGACACAAUAAGAGAAUUCAUACGUUCCACAUUCAUACGGAUAGUUGUACGGGAUAAUAGAUCAUCAUAUCCAAUGAAGGAUGAUGAAAGUUCUCACUGAGAAGUGGAAUACUACAGUGUGUUACGUAUGGGAGGGAGUUCUCUAGAGCCGAAGUACCAUUCGCAGAGUGUAGAGGUGUGAUUGAGUCGCACAAAAUAUUGGUUGCGGCAAGGUUUGCGAAGACCAGAUCCAAUUGACGCUCAGAUUGAUUUGCAAUACCACUCAACUGAAAUAAACCGGUACUAUGCAACCCAUCAACGAAAUCGGUAUUAGCCACGGAAUUGCAUAAAGGUGCAUAAUGCAUGACAGCAUAACAUGGAGAGCAAUCGGUGGCUUCUGAUGUAUGUAUGUAUGAAUUCGCAAAGGUCUUCUUCUUCGAUAUCGAUAGACUGCGCGAGUUUUUGCAUCGAAUAAAUGAAUUCAAGCGCUGAUUCGUCUUUCCUUUUCUUCCGCGAAGCCAAUUGCCGAUAGACAUCACUCGCUCUUACUACUGUUGCAAAUUCGGCUAAUAACGCGCGCUUCAGCGCAGCAUAAGUGGUAACUCCGCGCAAUGUAGCAAGAAAGCUCUUGGCCACACCGGUCAGUUUCUUCCGACACUUAAUAAACUUAUGCUAAUCAGACCAGCGCGCUAAACUAGAGAUUUCCUCAAACUCUACAAACCAAGCGGUAAGGUCUCUAGAACCAUCUGCGCUGUAUGCUUCUAUCCCUUCUUCAACGUCACGGAAAAAGUAGGGCGACGAAGUUUCUACCACCGGCUCAAGUUUUGGUAUGGCUGUUGCACUCUGUCCAGGUGCAACUUCCCCAAACACCGCAUCCUGAUACCGUUCCGCCGAGGACACGUCGAGUUCGGCUUGAACCUCUUGGUUCUCCACAAGCGAACGUGCCAUUUCUUCUUUUGUUCCCGUGAUCGGUAAUCCCUUUUCUUGGCAACGUUUUAUUAAGCCACAGCGUGUAAAUUCUUUUACCAAUAUCGCAAUACGCACUUCUUCCGUCAUUGUCACACGUGUACUUAUUAUUCACACUUGCACCUGAAUAUCGCGUUCGCACUCAAUUAUUCGUGAUAUUGUGGCACACGCUUUCUAUACGUAUUCACCAUAUACUUCCGCACACAGCAGUUUUCUUAUCUGUGCUUGCAUCAAACCACGAUGCUCACAGCAUAACGUUUUGCACACAGCGUUUUAUGUUUCGCACUCAGCGUAUCGCACUCAGCAUUAAUUCUUUCACACACAGGAAAGACACAACGUUUUAUGUUUCGCACUCAGCGUAUCGCAAUCAGCAGUUUUACUUGCACACAGCGUUUUCACAUCGCACUCAGCGUCAAUGCUUUCACACACAGAAAAGCCUCUUCAUUAGCGUCGCGAUCAGCACUUCAAUCCUCGAAUUCACAAUCAAUCCUGAUAACGUAAUCCUCAUUCCAAAAUCAAUCUCAUCAACGUAUUCCUCAUUCCACACUCAAUCUCAAUCCCGGACGAGCCCCCAAAUGUAAAGAAUGAAAACACGAGGAAACUAAUGUACGUUUUUACAGUUCUUUAUUUAGACGUGUGAAAUACAACAAACCGAUCGCGAAUGACCACUCCGCACGCGCUCCCGUUUUUAUAGUUAUCCUAUUAUCUCCUAUCUCGCUCACUCAUCUCUUCGUUUCUCUUUCUCCUGAUGUCCUUCGUCAUCGCUCGCUUCGUUCCUCUUACGUUCGUCCUAUCUCCUUCUAGAAACUUACAUGUAUUAGUCAGUUUCCAUCUGAUAUCAGGUUUAUUGAAAUCUCCGAAUACGUAUAAUAAAUCGCUCUCUUUAAUGCGGCUUGAAAUUUCACGUACACUAUCAUGUAAAAAUAUUGGAAUGUAAACAACGCCGAUGUAAACAGAGACACCUGGCAGCAAUGUUUUGAUCCAAAGUUGUUCCAGUAUGGUAUUAGGCGAUGCGAUUUCACAUGUCGGUAUUGAAGAGGAACAUGCAAUUAAAACACCCCCACCGCGUGAGAGGGCACUGUUGGAAAGAUUCCUAUCGCACCUGUAAAUAUGAUAAUGAUCGUCAGUGAGGAGCGAAGAAGGUAUGGACUGAGUAAGCCAAGUCUCAGUGAGAAUGAUAAAAUCAUAUUCUGAUUCUGAUAGCGAAGAUUUGUAGUUUUCGUUCGUAGACCACGUACAUUUUGGUAGUAGAUAGAGAGACUGGGAUGAGCUGAGCGAGGUGCAUCGCCGGAUGCAGUGCAAGAUUGCUAUUCAUCCGACGGGCCAGCGUCAGCAGAUUCAUCAAUCCGUUUAGCGUUUCCGCGCUUCGGUCUUUUUUUAGGCGCGGCUAAGCAUUCCGGAGGCGACCUGGUAGGUGUGGUAGUGACAAGCAUUCGCUCAUUAAGGUCCUGUUGUGGUUCGGUUGUAAACAAAGCUGCAUCUGUGGUGGUCAUAUCAUAUGAAGUCGCAACAGGCUGCGCAGGCGGAUCUGUAUUGGCAGUUGAUAUUGGAGUGCUCAAUCCAAACCGUGGGAGAGGAUUACGAUAAGUGUCUGUAGGGAGAGUGACAGGGUGAUCGAGUGUAGGUUGAAGCAUCGAAUUUGUAUCGGCGGCUGCGAGAGCAUUAGUGUUAAUAUUAUUGGUCCGGCGUAGAGUGACUGGUAUGCCCACCUUAAAUGAGACAAAUGAGAGUGUACUGGUGUCAGCGCCAAAUUUCGUCAGACGGUGAACGAACACAUCCCGCUUGUCAAGUGCUAGACAUACUUGCACCAUGUGUGAGAUUUGCUCAGUAGUGACCGAUGGGGCAAAACGUGUAAAGAAUAGCCACAUUCGCAUGUCAGUGUGUGGAAUGAUAUCCAAUGAACCCGAGUCAAGCGGCGAUCCGGAUCCUCUAAGUUGUGGUGAUAGCGGCUUAAUAGGUGGUGGCAUAGUAGUGUUGGACGACGAUCCGCUCGCACUUACACUAAGUGAAGCGGCCAAGGAUGUAAGCUGUUGUGGCGAUGUAAUAUUGUUGACCUCUGAAGUAAACAAUCCUGGAUUCGAUGAUGCUGGUUUGCGAUGAAUGGGUUGAUGUGACGGCAAAUCAGUGGCGAUGUUCGACGAAAACGUUAUUUAUUUAUUUAUUUAUUUAUUUAAAUCAAAGUUAUCGGGCAGUAUGCCUAAAUAACUUAAUGCUUACAGAGUACAAGUUUAAAGUAUGGCCCUAGAACUAACUUGAAUAUGCUGACGCAGCUGACUAUAUAUGCUGGCGCAGCGGAUUGAUUGAAAUUUGCUGAUAACCCUAACCUAUUAUACACAUCAAUCAUUUUGAGCAGUGGAUCAUUGGCACCAAGACCAGUCGAUCUAAAAGGGCUUCUUAGUAGCUCUCUCCCCGAACAGAAUAAAAAAGUCAUUCUUAUAUUUCUCUCUCGUUAAGUGCAAUGAAUUACAGAAUGCAUUUAUGGUGUCCAUGUUGGCUGAUUGAGCAGGAGGCAAAUAAAAUGAUCCGAUGAUUAGCGAAACUUUAAGAACUUUUACUCGAACCCAAAGGCAUUCAAUUGUAGAUGUGUUUGUCGAGCACAGAGAGGAAGAUCGUAACGUAAUUUGCAUUGAUCGUAACGAGGACACCACCACCUCUACAUUUGUUACUGUUUGCUGCAGAACGAUCCGUACGGAAUGUAUUAAAGCGGUUGUUAUCAAACAAAAGCUCAGAUGGAAAGCUGUCAUCUAGCCACGUUUCCGUAAGAACGAUAACAUCCCAGUCGGCGAUUGCAGUAUUAGCAAAACAUUCAGAGGUUUUAGUACGUAAGCCUCUCACGUUUUGAUAAAAGAUAUUGAAUGUGUUUAAUACUGGCUCCGUAGGUAAAGUUGAAUGACUUAAUGUUGGCUUAAAAAAGUCGAACCGGAGGAAUUAUUUUGAGUCAUGUGAGUUUCAGGUGAGUUUGCAUUUUUAAGAUGAUGGCUCGGUGAUGGACUAUGUUGUGUUGUGUGUGUUGGUGGGAUCACAUUUAUGCAGUUGACAUCAUUAUGCAUAAAAUUAGUAGUUGAGAAACUUCUGGCAGUUGAAUUGUUUGAAGCAGGAAAGCUAGAUACCGGGAGUGUUGGUGUGAAUUGUUUCUGUGUACGUUGGUGAAAUUCAAACUGGCGGUAAACAAAUCCGCAUGGCCAAGUUGAAGGAGAGAAAGCGAGCUCGCCAAACUCCGAUGGAAUGCCGAUCUUAAAGGACACAUACUUUAGUGAGCUUGUAACGCGACCUCUUGGUAUGACACACUUCACCGAACAUUCAGUGCAUUUUAACCUUCCUAGAAUGAACAUUUUCAUGUUCUCCUCAGUUACAGUGGGUGCAAUCCUAGUUACAAACAUCCAAACUUUUGGCUCAGGUGCAGGAAUGAAUUGUAUGGUGUCUGUGUUGAUGUGAUCAUUGGCAGUGCCGGUGUGAAGAAUUGCUUGUGUUGGAUUAAUGUGUUCAUUAUCCGAGAGCAUACGCGAUUGAGAGUGUGGUAGUGAGUUCUGUUUGACGAGAGUUGGUGUUGGUGACAUAGGAGUAUCGGUGGAUGUGUGGAAUGUUUUAUCGGUGAGAGAGAUGGUACUCACAGUCGGAGCGAUUUUCUCACGCUCUUGCGGCAUCACUCUAUUUGGAUCCAGCUGAGAUAUCCUUUGAUCAAGCUCACUCCGUAUUGCAUUUUUCAACUCAUCUUUCAGUGUAUUCAUCAAGCACGAAAUUGAUGAGAAAAAAUCUGAUCUCGAGUCACGGCAUUUCUCGCACAUCCAGCAGAGACCACGAUUGCGUGCCACCUCCUUAACACAAGUGGCGGCAAGUUUAAUGCUAUCCGAAUGAAAGGCAGAAUUGCACUUCGAAAAAGGAAGAUUGCCAAUACAAACAACCGGAUCUUUGUUGAUAGUAGUAGAGCAGAUUGCACAGUCCAUUAUGAGAGAGAGUAUCGAUCACUUAGGUGAGCAGUGAGCGUGAACGGAGAGGACACUGAUUGAUGAGCUGGUGCGAAUUACUCUCUGAGUGUAUUAAGCAGGGUCAAUAACACUGAACCGCAGUCGCCGAUGAAACAGAAAUCACGUAGAAAUACAAUUCAGGUACGCGUUCUCGUAGAAAUUCUCGUACGAUGCAGGAACAAAAUGCUUCAACACAGCAACACAGCAAAACUUGCGACAGGAACAGCUUCACAAACUCAAAAACGAACGAUUUCAAACCAAAAUCACACCAAAAACAGACAGUACACAGGAGCAACGCAGAAACACGUCCAAACGCUUCAGUGGCCAACUCUCUCUCAAGUUAUGUUGCAAUGUUGCAAUGUUGUUAUGUUGCAAUGUUUUGUUGUAUUAACUUAACCAUGAUGCUGGCGUCUGUCCGGUUGGGGCAUCUGAAGCUGCCUGUGUAGUGGGGUUCAACCAUUUCCCCACGGCAAUCUAGACACGCCAUAGCAUUUCCACACUCUCGGAUCUUGUGACCUUCUUGACCACAUUUAAUGCAGAACUUGCUUCGAUCUUGGCCUGUGCAUUCGAAACCCUUGUGGCCCACUUUCCAGCAUUUGAAACAUUUCACCUGGACUGUAGCCUCUCUCAGGCUGCAUACGCACCAACCAACUUUCAGCUUUCCUGGAUUGAGGACACGGUCUUUCGCCGACAGAGGCACUCUGAAUGUUGCUUUUUGCGUGUCUUUUGUCCUUCCAUCUCGGACUUUAAUUUCCUUGUGGUCAAUGUCGAUCGCCAGCUGUUGCUUGAGGGCUUCAGCGAUCUCCUCAGCAACGGUUAUUUCGUCUAGGUGGGCGAUUUCGAUCAUCACCGUGGGCACAAGUGAUCUGACUCUCGCCUUGCCUUUCAAGGCAUUUUUGAUGCCUGCUUCUACCUGCACCGCUUCUUUACCGCUCUUCAAUACCAGCAGCAUGUCGCCAUUCUGCGUUCUCCGCACCUUUGCAACCUGGUCGCCGACAUCUUUGAGUGCUUCGUCGUGGGUGAGCUUUUGAGCACUUUCGCCAGAUCGAUGUCUUGGCACUUCUCGAUGACCACUGCUUCGGGUCUAACUUGUGGUCUCUUUUUCUUCUUCUUGGGUUUCUUGUUUUGACCCCCGCUGCUCUUCGGAGUCUCUCUCUACGCGGAUCUUGGACGCGCAUUGUUGUCUUGUUUACGAGCCUCUUUUGGGACUCGACCUCUUCGUGUUUGUGGCACAAAGGGAGCAUCUUCUGCCAACUCGCUUGGUUGUGCCGUUUGCACUUCGAUUUCCUGGGUAUUCUUCUGCUUGAGUUGUUUCUUCAACUCGCUCAUUUCCUUAACCAUAAACUCAAUCAUUUGAGCGAUCAUGCCAUCACGCAGAUCUUCAAUCGCCAGAUUGUUAGCGUAAUGCUUGAACCUCUCGAGUUGGGUUUUAUGCGAGACUUUCUUGGGUACUACAUCCUCCUCCGCCUUUGAGGCUUUCUUGUAGCUCUUUUUGCGCUUCGAUAUCAACUCAUCAAUGAGUCGCUCGUGCUCUUCAUCCUCAACAUUCUUCUUGGACUUUGGUUUUCUCACUUCCUAUUGGGUCCAAACUUCAAUCCGCUAUCUUUGUUCGUCACUAUAGUCCCCUUGUUGAUGCCCCGUGAAUGGCUUUGGAUCAGGUAGCUCCACGCGAGGGUUGGCUCACUACCAUUAAGCCUUUUAAUUCGUGAACCUCUUUCUUAAGGGCAAACACCUCACUAUUCUCGUCGCUUGACUCUUGUUUAACGCUACAUGUAUUCACCAUCGCCCCUUUUGAUGCUUCCCAUAUUUUGUCCGCAAUAGGUAGAAUCUCUUUUAGGUUAGUUUUCCCUAGUGAAAUCAUGGCUAUUGCAAUUGACUUUGGUAGUCGACCUAACCAUAAACGAAAAAUCAACUUAUCUGAAAUGUCACUGGAUGAUUCUGCAAGCUGCACGAGACGACGAUGAAACUCCGACCGACUGCAAUCUCCCAUCUCAGCGUUGUAGAGAAGUUUCGAGAUCUGCUGCUCCUCACUAAUCGAUAAGCGCGUCAGCAAAGCUUCCUUCAAAUACGUAUACCGGUUGUGCGCAGGAGGAUUCUGGAAGAUGUCGAUCACUUUCUCCAGCCUCUCGAGCGGCAUGGCGGUGAGAAGAUUAGCAUACUUGGUGUGCUCGGUUUUGGUUCCCGCGUUUUCAAACUGAGCCUCUGCUUGAAUAAACCAUGUACUUGGUGAGUUGGUCCAAAAUGGUGGCAGCUUCACAGCACUGAUCUCGAUCUCAUCCCGAAUGUUCUGCGGUGCGGUAGGUGGCGGCACGAGGCUCGUCAUCGCGGAUUGAGGUGUCGUCGAUGGAGUUGCGAAAUGUACCUCUUCUUGAGCCGCAUGAUCUACCGACGCGUUCGUCCCGUCUCCAAGUUGUGGUUGGUUUGUAGCCAUGUUUCUGUUCAGAUCCUUUUAUACCGCAAAGGAAUAACGUUACGAACGAAACCCGGACGAAUGUGAUUCUCUUGAUGGUGUGUGUAAUAUUUGCUGCAAGAUGGUGCGUGUGUAUGUGGACGCCUUGAUGAUGACGAGACUUGAAGAAACGUUUCUGUCACCAGACGUGUGCUGUGUGUUGGUGUGUGUCGUUGUGGGGUGAGCGUAACCGGAUGACGUGUAAUCCAAAAAGGAUUCUAGAAAUGAAUCCUGUUUUUUUUUCACUAGAACACGCACGCAGUGUUUUUUUUUUCGCAUUUUUGAACACGCUUCAACACACGCCCGAUCGCGAUACAACGUACGCUUUUAUUCGCGCUUUUACUACACAUGCACGGUCACGUCGCUCACGUUAAUCAGAAGGCUGGCGUACUAUACGAAACAAAUCGCCACGUUGAAUGAAUCGUAGAUUCAGUGUUCUUAACAAAGAGUGUGCGAUUCUGUGAUCUCUCUUGAUCACGUCGGGGUCACCAAUAAACUGUAACACAACUGUGAACCUUUAUUUCACUUUAAAUUCCGCGACGAUACACACAGUAAGCCGAGCCAGAACCUUCUGCCUUGCUCCGGCCGAUCGCGGCUUUUUAUAUCCUCCUUGACCCAUGCGUGAAAGAGAAGAAAUGUUCUCAUCCUUGUUCCUAACGAAAGUUCCAGAACCGUUCCCUGUCUCUAAAUCUCGCAAACCGUUCACAGUCUCUACAGGACUAGUCGGUCGUUGGCUGCAUUCGAAAGGAAACUUCGGCUGGGACCGGUCGCUCCGUCGGUGAAAAAGUGUUCCUGUACGGUGUUCCUCACUAGCUGGCACAUUCGGUGUCGAUUGGAACUCACGUGGGUUCGAUGUGUAUGCGCGGAGCGUUUUUUUCGCUGGCCAAUCGUGGUGCCUCUUUCGUGGUCGGCAGCUCCUCGAUGACGGGGGGAACGUUUCCGUCGGUCCGAACCGUGGUACAAGGAAACACGUUUUUCCUGAAACCUGUUUUUGGUCCCUAAUUUUAAGUCGCGAACGCAUUUAAUGUCGUGAGUACAUAACAACGAAUUUAUUUAAAUCGAUUUUUCGGGAUGCGUUAGAAUCAGACGGCUUAGCUAAUAUGGGUGGUAGUUUAUCAGCGAGAACGAGGAUCUCGGGAAGCAAAUCGCUCUUGAUAGCCAAUCUAAGAGAAGAGAGAGAUGAAUCAAUUGAGGUGAGAAUAUCUGUUUUCACCAACUCGAGUAGUGUUGCUAUCUCACAAGUGAGAAGCGAUUUUGUGCCAUUGCGAAACUCUUUACAUGUUUUGCACAAUCACAAUAACUGAUUAUUUCGACCAAGUUCACGAGUAGAAUCACGGGAUAAACCAGUACAAUGAGUAUGAUGCUUGGAACCACAAACACCGGCGCAUGACACUGAAUUGUCACUAUCGGUGGGUGCUUUGCUGGUUGAGAACUGCAUAAUGAUGACACAGCACAAACUGAUGAGCGUCAGGAGCAGGAACAAAGCCAAUCUUUAUCUCGGCAAACUGUCGAAAAUAACAGGAGACAGGUGCAAGAACUCCAGUGCAACUUAACAGCAAUCCAAGGCACUCACCAACCAGUGCAAAAAACUCAGCAGCAUCAAUGUUGCAAAUGAUGCAAAUGUUGCAAUUCAGGAAUAAACACGGCAUUAUAGUACCAAAAAUCGGGAGCACGAGCAAACCAUUCGGUUUGACAGUCAAUCGCUCUCUGAAAAUGUCAUCGGUUCCCUGUUAUUUUGUAUGGUGGCAAAAUGUGGGAACCAUUCGCUAAAGUCGCGGACACGCGUCUCUUGUUGCACACUGCAGCUGCAGUCUGAUUUAGCAUUAGCUAUUGCAGUACGAUGCCGUGCGUGUGCGUAUCGAAACUAGACAUGUCUAGACGGUGUGGAAUGUUCGUCACAGUAGUGUAUGCACCCAUAUACUAACACACUCACAUACUAACACACUAGCGGACACACUAUGCGCACAUACAGUUGUGGUAGCGGAAUUGAUGGCGGUGCUAAUGAGUAUAAUCUACCUUUCAAUGCAAUCCUACUAGCGCGCACUCUCCCAUACAGAAACUUUUUCUUUUUUACUUUCUACACCUUUAAACCAGGUUCUAAACGCAGCGGCAUCGCACACUGUCAUUAAUCCACUGAUCUCUCGGUGAAUCGAAUUACCAAUAAACGAUCAUCUAAUUCCUAUAAUUAUGGAACAGGAAAUGUAAAAUUAUUGCCAGCAAAUAGGAACAGAUGUUUGAAAUGCCAUUAAAACUAUCGAAAUCAAACGCAAAUUGUACUAUGAAUGAAUAAAAAUGCUAAGAUUGCUAACUAGUUGCGUA